rnacentral:rRNA from 1 species
AUGGAUCCCAAUGUCGUCGCUAUCUCUCAAGAGUCAAACUCCUCGUCUGACGCCAUCCGGCUCACGGUACAGAGCAUCGACGGCAAGAAGACCGUGGUCGUGGCGGGUCCACAGGACACUUUAGGCGAGGUGCUCGGUCGCUUCGUGGACGUGGGACCCAGGAGAAGAAGCGACCUCCACGCCGUGCACGAGUGUCGGAACCUCCACCUCGAGGCGAAAAUCAACGAGCUUGACCUCCCGCGCGGCGCCACUUUGCACUUAACCCGAUAUCCCGACGCAUGGAGCCUCGCAUCUCAGAUUGCCGCGGCGGCCACAACUGACAUGGACGUCUCUAACGAAACUGCCGAGUUGUUCAAGAGGUUCAUACAUGACGGUGAAGUCCAAAUUGAUCCACUGGCGCGGCAUCUUGGUGUACCCAACUGCUCAUCGUGGACCGACUUUGAGCAUGUCACCAAGAUGCUUUACACCAGGGACAUCGUCCUGCUCGUCAAGAAGUUCCUCGCAAGCGCCAAAGCUACCAACGAGAGACAAGCAGGGACGGCCGUGGAGUACCUCGACGUCCUCCUCCGCAGCGGUGUCAUCGGGGUUCUGGUCCGCCUCUACUCCUCCGGCUCUAUGCUGCAUCACUUGAGAGCCAAUUCGGCGAUCAUCUGCCUCCUGUAUCCGGAGAUAAGCGGCAUACUCCCUCGCCUUGAGGUGUGCUUUCUCCCACUCUGGUUGGAGUUAUGUCGGUUGAUACCCGCCGCCUCCGGCAAAGGCAGAAGCGACCCGCUCUAUGAGAAGUGUAGGCACAGGCUGGCGGCGGUGCUCUCUUUGUUCGAGCGGACGCCGUCGCUACGCAUGCCGAAGAUGCCUCAAGAGUGGUUGAUCGAGCGGUUAAUACCAAUUGCCAAAGAUGCGACGGACGUGAUCAUUCGCUACAUGGCAGCAGGGUGGGCGGCCCCGGAUGAUAAGCUCUUUGUGUUCAGAGUAUUGUUUGCACUGGUGUGCUACUUCCGGCGCCGGGAGGUUUACGCACAGCGCAAGGACGGUCCUGUGGGAGCGGUGCUGUCCCGGACGGCGAUGUCCCUGCUGAUUUCGGUCAAUGCAUUCAUGACGAGGUUGGAGGGAGCCUCGCCGUCGAAGGAGCAACAGCAGCAGGACGCGACUCACAACAUCUUGCCGGGUUUGGCGACCUUGGAGCAGCACCAGCAGGAUACGGUUGACAGCAUCUGGGUGGUGCUAGGCCAACUGGAUAUGUGGUCCGUGACGGACUGCCACUUGGCCGGCGCCAUCCGGGCCACCUGCACGGCGCACGCGGCGUGCCUGAAUGCGCUCGUGCUCGGCACCAGCGCCGACAGGAGCCGGUGCAAGGACAUCGGCCGGAUUGUCGUCAAGCACAAGGACCUCCUCGGGUUCGAGGUGCGGAUGCAUUUCGCCAGAGCGAUGCUGCCGGAAAUGGACGCAACGUCGUCGGUGUUCAUGCUGUUUGACGAUGAGCCUCAUGCGCUCGAGAUGCUCAUUGAUCGGUCGCAGCUGCUGCCCGACUCCUUCAGAUAUGUCUCCGAGGCAGCGAGCCACGUGCUCCAUGGCCGCCUGUUCGUGGAGUUCCUGGACGAGGAGGCCCUUGGCGAGGGGGUAGCAAGGGAGUGGAUCUCCCUGGUGUGUCGCGCGUUGUUCGACCCGCGGCACGGCCUCUUCUCGCCCUGUCCGCGUGACCAGCAAAGGUUCUUCCUGAAUCCAGCAUCUGGAGCGGAUCCACUGCAGCUGAAGUACUUCGAUUUUGCGGGACGGAUGAUCGGACUGGCCCUGAUGCACAAUGUCCCGGUGGGGGUUCGGUUUGACCGGACGCUCUUCUUUCAGCUAGCCGGGAGGCCUCUCACCCUGGAUGACAUUGCAGACGCAGACCCAAGCACGCAUGCAAGCUGCAAGAAAAUCCUAGAGAUGGAUCCUGAUCUCGUCGAUUCAGACGCGCUGGGUCUCACAUUUGCGAGGGAAGUUGGGGUAUUUGGCUCAGGGGAGGUCAUCGAGCUCCUUCCGGGAGGGAGAGAUAUCGCUGUCGAUAGCAAGAACAGAGGCCAGUACAUCGAGCUGUUGAUCCAAAGUCUCUUCAUGGCCAGCACCAAAGAUCAACUAACUCAUUUCGCUAAGGGGUUUUCCUACAUGCUCGUAAAGCCGGAGUUGCGGAAACUUUUCUUCCUGAGCUUGCAUUUGAAAGAUCUUGACAGUAUGCUGGGCGGGCGCAUCGGCGCCAUUGAUGUGCAGGAAUGGAAAGAAUAUACCAGAUAUGAGGGGGGGUUCACCCAACAAGAUGAUCAGAUCAACUGGUUCUGGGAGGCCGUGGCGAGCAUGAUGGUUGAAGAGCAGAGACGAUUGCUCUUCUUCUGGACCUCUGUCGAGUAUUUGCCAUUUGACGGUUUCCGUGGGCUACACCUAGGUAGUGGUCUAGUCAUAUCUAAAGCAUCAUUGAAGACCUCGGAGCAUCUCCCUUCAUCGUCCACCUGCUUUUACCGACUGAACAUGCCAGUGUAUACCUCCUUCUCCAUGACGUUGAGCCGGCUACAGAAGAUCACCCAGGAGCAUGUGAGCAACAGCUUUGGUGAGAUCUAA